GACGAACGCUGGCGGCGUGCUUAACACAUGCAAGUCGAACGGAAAGGCCCUGCUUGCAGGGUACUCGAGUGGCGAACGGGUGAGUAACACGUGGGUGAUCUGCCCUGCACUUCGGGAUAAGCCUGGGAAACUGGGUCUAAUACCGGAUAGUAGCCAUUUUUAGUGUGAUGGUUGGAAAGUUUUUUCGGUGUAGGAUGAGCUCGCGGCCUAUCAGCUUGUUGGUGGGGUAAUGGCCUACCAAGGCGGCGACGGGUAGCCGGCCUGAGAGGGUGGACGGCCACAUUGGGACUGAGAUACGGCCCAGACUCCUACGGGAGGCAGCAGGGGGGAAUAUUGAACAAUGGGCGCAAGCCUGAUGCAGCGACGCCGCGUGGGGGAUGACGGCCUUCGGGUUGUAAACUCCUUUCGCUAGGGACGAAGCUUUUUGUGACGGUACCUAGAUAAGAAGCACCGGCUAACUACGUG
rnacentral:rRNA from 1 species